CAGAGGUUUUGGGUAAUCGCCGCCUGAUCAUUCAGGGGGAGGAAAGUCCGAACACCGACGGGUACCGUGCUUCCUAACAGGAAGGGCUCUUCGUAUUAAGGAGGGUACAGACAGUGCCACAGAAAACAGACCGCCCCGCCAUGCGGGGUAAGGGUGAAAAGGUGAGGUAAGAGCUCACCGUCCCGGACGGCGACGACCGGGUGCAGGGUAAACCUCACGGGGUGCAAGUUCAUGCAGGUUGUGUGCCACACGUCACUAUACAACCGGGUAGAACGCUCAGAUCUCAGUGGCAACAUUGAGACCAGAUAAAUGAUUACCCUCUCCGCCUUUAAGGCAGAGAGACAGAAUUCGGCUUACAGAAACCUCUGCAAC
rnacentral:RNase_P_RNA from 1 species